AUGGCUGGGCCCACUUGGAUCUCCAAGGUCUCUCCGCUGCUGGGGGCAUUCCACAACCCAAAACAGGUGACCAAAGGUUUUACUGGUGUUGUUCAGUCAGUAACUUUAAUUCCAGGGGAUGAUAUUGGCCCAGAAAUUUCAGCUGCAGUUAUGAAGAUUUUUGAUGCUGCCUAAGCACCUAUUCAGUGGGAGGAGCGGAACGUCACUGCCAUUCAAGGACCUGGAGGAAAAUGGAUGAUCCCUUCGGAGGCUUAAGAGUCCAUGGAUAAGAACAAGAUGGGCUUGAAAGGCCCUUGGAAGACCCCAAUAGCAGAGGGUCACCCAUCUAUGAAUUUACCUCUAUGCAAAACAUUUGACCUUUACACAAAUGUCCGACCAUGUGUCUCUAUCGAAGGCUAUAAAACCCCUUACACCGAUGUAAAUGUUGUGACCAUUCGAGAGAACACAGAAGGAGAAUACAGUGAAAUUGAGCAUGUGAUCGUUGAUGGAGUUGUGCAGAGUAUCAAGCCCAUCACCGAGGGGGCGAGCAAGCCCAUUGCUGAGUUUGCCUUUGAGUAUGCCCGGAACAACCACCGGAACAACGUCACGGCGGUGCACAAAGCCAACAUCACGCGGAUGUUAGAUGGGCUUUUUCUACAAAAAUGCAGGGAAGUUGCAGAAAACUGUAAAGAUAUUAAAUUUAAUGAGAUGUACCUUGAUACAGUAUGUUUGAAUAUGGUACAAGAUCCUUCCCAGUUUGAUGUUCUUAUUAUACCAAAUUUGUAUGGAGACAUCCUUAGUGACUUGUGUGCAGGAUUGAUCGGAGGUCUUGGUGUGACACCAAGUGGCAACAUUGGAGCCAAUGGGGUUGCAAUUUUUGAGUCCAUUCAUGGGACGGCUGUAGACAUUGCAGGCAAGGACAUGGCGAAUCCCACAGCCCUCCUGCUCAGUUCUGUGUUGAUGUUGCGCCACAUGGGACUUUUAGACCAUGCUGCAAGAAUUGAGGCCGCGUGUUUUGCUACGAUUAAGGAUGGAAAGAGCUUGACAAAAGAUUUGGGAGGCAAUGCAAAAUGCUCAGACUUCACAGAGGAAAUCUGUCGCCAAGUAAAAGAUUUAGAUUAA